GAAUUCGCCCUUAGAGUUUGAUCCUGGCUCAGGACGAACGCUGGCGGCGCGCCUAACACAUGCAAGUCGAACGGGGUGCGUUCGAAUGAAGUUUUCGGAUGGAAUUUGGAUGUACCUAGUGGCGAACGGGUGAGUAACACGUGAAUAACCUGCCCUGGAGUGGGGGACAACAGUUGGAAACGACUGCUAAUACCGCAUAAGCCCACAGAGCCGCAUGGCUCAGGGGGAAAAGGAGCAAUUCGCUUCAGGAUGGAUUCGCGUCCAAUUAGCUGGAUGGUGAGGUAACGGCCCACCAUGGCAACGAUUGGUAGCCGGACUGAGAGGUUGAUCGGCCACAUUGGGACUGAGACACGGCCCAGACUCCUACGGGAGGCAGCAGUGGGGAAUAUUGCACAAUGGGGGAAACCCUGAUGCAGCGACGCCGCGUGGAGGAAGAAGGUCUUCGGAUUGUAAACUCCUGUCGUUGGGGACGAUAAUGACGGUACCCAACAAGAAAGCCACGGCUAACUACGUGCCAGCAGCCGCGGUAAAACGUAGGUGGCAAGCGUUGUCCGGAAUUACUGGGUGUAAAGGGAGCGCAGGCGGAAGGACAAGUUGGAAGUGAAACCCACGGGCUCAACCCGUGAACUGCUUUCAAAACUGUUUUUCUUGAGUGGUGUAGAGGUAGGCGGAAUUCCCGGUGUAGCGGUGGAAUGCGUAGAUAUCGGGAGGAACACCAGUGGCGAAGGCGGCCUACUGGGCACUAACUGACGCUGAGGCUCGAAAGCAUGGGUAGCAAACAGGAUUAGAUACCCUGGUAGUCCAUGCCGUAA
rnacentral:rRNA from 1 species